AGAGUUUGAUCCUGGCUCAGGAUGAACGCUAGCGGAAGGCUUAAUACAUGCAAGUCGAGCGGUACUCCCCUUCGGGGGAUGAGAGCGGCGCACGGGUGAGUAACGCGUACAUGACCUGCCUGUCAGAAGGGAAUAGCCCUGGGAAACUGGGAUUAAUACCCUAUGGUAUUGAUAUUAUGAAUGAUAUCAAUUAAAGUUGAGGCGCUGACAGAUGGAUGUGCGUCUGAUUAGCUAGUUGGUAGGGUAACGGCCUACCAAGGCGACGAUCAGUAGGGGGCGUGAGAGCGUGGUCCCCCACACGGGUACUGAGACACGGACCCGACUCCUACGGGAGGCAGCAGUAAGGAAUAUUGGUCAAUGCCCGCAAGGGUGAACCACCCAUUCCGCGUGGAGGAUGAAGGCCCUAUGGGUUGUAAACUUCUUUUAGAUGGGAAGAAAAUGCUAGAUGUAUCUGGUACUGACGGUACCAUCAAAAUAAGCACCGGCUAACUCCGUGCCAGCAGCCGCGGUAAUACGGAGGGUGCGAGCGUUAUCCGGAAUCACUGGGUUUAAAGGGUGCGUAGGUGGCUUAAUAAGUCAGCUGUGAAAUGUCUGGGCUUAACCGAGGCAUUGCGGUUGAUACUGUUAGGCUUGAAUCAAGGUUGAGGUGGCUAGAAUGUGACAUGGUAGCCGGUGAAAUGCAUAGAUAUGUCAUAGAAUACCAAUUGCGAAGGGCGGUUGCUAGUACUUUGAUUGACACUGACGCACGAAAGCGGUGGGGGAUCAAACAGGAUUAGAUACCCCUGUAGUCCACGCCUUAACGAUGCUUACUAGUUGUGUUGAGAAAUUAUGUCGGGGCCGCCAGCGAAGCGAUAGUCAAGCCACCUUGAGCAGUACGCCCGCAGGAUGCACUCAAGGUAAUUGACGCGUCGCCAGCGACGACAUGUGAUUACUUCGAUGCACGACG
rnacentral:rRNA from 1 species